AUGACCUGUAGCUGUAGGUAUUGGCAGUUAUCUGGUAUAGUUUGUGCUCAUGCCGUCUCUGCAAUCCAUCAACACACCAAUCAGUUACAUGGUUAUGUGGCUAGUUGUUACUCAGUUGAAGCAUUCAAGAAAACCUAUGCAUAUUGCCUGCAACCAGUUGAAGGACCCCAAGGUUGGCCAGAAUCACACAAGCCUAAACCACUAGCUCCUGGAUAUGUUAAGAUGUCAGGAAGGCCUCGGAAAGAGAGAAAAAGAGAGGGUACUGAAAAACCAAAAGCUAUCAAAGUUUCGAGGGGUGGAACUUUGAUUAGAUGCAGGAAAUGCAAGUGCACUGGUCACAAUAAAACCACAUGUCCAGGAAAUGCCGCUUCAAGUUCAAAUGGACAAAAUGCAGCCUCAGGAAAUGCCGCUAGAUCAUUUACCAAGUCCAGAAGCAAUGCAAAAGCCUCCAAGAUGUCUAGUUCCCAGGUACAAUACACAUAA
rnacentral:rRNA from 1 species